CGGUGCCGUGGGCGACGGCGUGACCACCGGCGGCUCGGGCGACGACGGCACUGACGACUGCGGUGCUGCGGGCGGUACGACCGCUGCCACCGGC
rnacentral:tRNA from 1 species